AACGAACGCUGGCGGCAUGCCUAACACAUGCAAGUCGAACGAGACCUUCGGGUCUAGUGGCGCACGGGUGCGUAACGCGUGGGAAUCUGCCCUUGGGUUCGGAAUAACAGUUAGAAAUGACUGCUAAUACCGGAUAAUGACGUAAGUCCAAAGAUUUAUCGCCCAAGGAUGAGCCCGCGUAGGAUUAGCUUGUUGGUGAGGUAAAGGCUCACCAAGGCGACGAUCCUUAGCUGGUCUGAGAGGAUGAUCAGCCACACUGGGACUGAGACACGGCCCAGACUCCUACGGGAGGCAGCAGUGGGGAAUAUUGGACAAUGGGCGAAAGCCUGAUCCAGCAAUGCCGCGUGAGUGAUGAAGGCCUUAGGGUUGUAAAGCUCUUUUACCCGGGUUGAUAAUGACAGUACCGGGAGAAUAAGCCCCGGCUAACUCCGUGCCAGCCGCCGCAGUAAGAC
rnacentral:rRNA from 1 species